GAUGAAGAACGCAGCGAAAUGCGAUAAGUAAUGUGAAUUGCAGAAUUCAGUGAAUCAUCGAAUCUUUGAACGCACAUUGCGCCCCCUGGUAUUCCGGGGGGCAUGCCUGUUCGAGCGUCAUUUCACCACUCAAGCCUCGCUUGGUAUUGGGCAACGCGGUCCGCCGCGUGCCUCAAAUCGACCGGCUGGGUCUUCUGUCCCCUAAGCGUUGUGGAAACUUUCGCUAAAGGGUGUUCGGGAGGCUACGCCGUAAAACAACCCCAUUUCUAAGGUUGACCUCGGAUCAGGUAGGGAUACCCGCUGAACUUAAGCACAUCAAUAAGCGGAGGA
rnacentral:misc_RNA from 1 species